UGGGUUAGUGGCGGGCGGGUGAGUAACGCGUGGGUAACCUGCCUUACACAGGGGGAUAACACUUAGAAAUAGGUGCUAAAACCGCAUAAGCGCACAGCUUCGCAUGAAGCGGUGUGAAAAACUCCGGUGGUGUAAGAUGGACCCGCGUCUGAUUAGCUUGUUGGCGGGGUAACGGCCCACCAAGGCGACGAUCAGUAGCCGGCCUGAGAGGGCGGACGGCCACAUUGGGACUGAGACACGGCCCAGACUCCUACGGGAGGCAGCAG
rnacentral:rRNA from 1 species